rnacentral:rRNA from 1 species
CGACGUAAACAAACCGCCUUCAGGAUGGGGACAACAGACGGAAACGACUGCAAUACCGAAUAAGUUCCAAGAGCCGCAUGGCCCAUGGAAGAAAAGGUGGCCUCUACCUGUAAGCUAUCGCCUGAAGAGGGGUUUGCGUCUGAUUAGCUGGUUGGAGGGGUAACGGCCCACCAAGGCGACGAUCAGUAGCCGGUCUGAGAGGAUGAACGGCCACACUGGAACUGAGACACGGUCCAG